rnacentral:rRNA from 1 species
AACGCGAAGAACCUUACCUGGGCUUGAACCGCUACUGACCAACGGUAGAAAUAUCGUCUUCCCGCAAGGGACAGUAGUAGAGGUGCUGCAUGGCUGUCGUCAGCUCGUGCCGUGAGGUGUUGGGUUAAGUCCCGCAACGAGCGCAACCCUUACUCGUAGUUGCUACCCGCAAGGGAGAACUCUACGAGGACUGCUCCGGAUAACGGAGAGGAAGGUGGGGAUGACGUCAAGUCAGCACGGCCUUUAUGUCCAGGGCUACACACGUGUUACAAUGCAUGGUACAGACUGUUGCGAACCGCGAGGUGGCAUACGCCGACACGCU